rnacentral:rRNA from 1 species
CUCUACGACCACCGCACGCAAUCUCCCCUCCUCCUACUCGCUCUCGCCGCGCCGCUCCACCUAUCCGCUCUCCUUCGUUUAUGUGCGACGGCGGCGGCUGAUUGAUGUGGGACGUGGCGGUAGCGACGACGGCCUCAAGCAGGGAUAUGAGGAUGAAGGAAUAUUGUCCAAGAUCCCUGAGGAGCACGAGGUGGGGAGCCAGAAUAGAUCGGCGCCAGGGCGUGAGGACCAUGCCGUCAUCACGGCGAGCCCAAGCCAGCAUCCUAUUGGGCUUUCUGACGCGGUUCAGCAUCAUGGUGGCGCGGAGUAAGGCCUUCUUUGACUCCAGGUCGGCCGCAAACACGACAUCCAGAUGAAGCCCGGCUGUUCAGGCAUCUGGAUCGGCCGCUGCUCCCUCGCUGACUACGACGACGGGCUCAUCAACAUCACACACCAGAGCACCGUCAUCAUCGUAUCUAGAUCAUCGAUACUACCUCGUCGAAGUCACACGGGACCCAGUGCUUCACACUACCUCCAAAGCAUUCGAAGCAGGUGUCCGCGUACAUGGUAUAAUUGUCCCCUGCACAUAUAUCACCAUACAUUCAAAUGAAGAACGAAAGCGUCUAAAAGAUUCUGAAGCUUCAUUCUGGAAUUACAUGAAUCUGGGGCUGACUGAGGGAGAUCAAAAUGGUACUAGAUGGUAACAUUAGGUUGUAUGCCUGCAGUGAUGGUUAAUCAAGAUCGAUCAAAGGCUAUGUUCAGGCGUCGUUGUCGUGACUUGCUUGGCAUUACUCUGAUAUCCGUUAGGCAGUGGUAACCUUCUUUUGAUGGUUGUAGACACACAUCUUCAGUCACACGUACACCAUAUGAGGUAUUGAAUAACCUAUCCUCUCAUUUUUAUCGUCAUUGCCAUAACUUUUACCGGCUUCUCAUCAAAGUUCUUGCCUCUGAGCCCACUCUCUGCCAUGGUGUGCUGAUCUGCUCGUUUUACAUUAUGUGUUUGUUUGUCUGUUUGUGUGAACUUUCAGUUUUCCAGAAGUUUUUGUUAAAGCAUGCCACUUCUAUCUUUGUAUAUACUAUAAGCUAAACUCAAGUAGAAGUAGUAUUAUCCAGUUAUCUAUUUGCAAUUCAAUUAUUUAGUUAUUUUAGGAGCAUUAGUUCAUUGAUUUAAUGAAUUUUUUAGCACUCAAAACAGCAGGAGAGGCUCCCGCUGCUAUGUUUUAAAUUUUUGAGAAAUAAUUACAUAAUGCCUGUAUGCCCACCAAUUGGUGGCAGAAAUGGUCUUUUUUGUUGCGAAAGGGCAGAAAGGGAUUUACAAAUAAAACAAGGCCAAGUAUACAAAAAAUAUACAAGGGUAAGCAAGACUACAAAUAGGAAUGUAAGCUUGAAGUGAUGUGAUCAGGUCUUGAAGGUGUUCUUGAUUUUCAGUUCUGGCCUUGAACUUCAGAAUCCCUAGGUCUGAUGUUAGUGCUCUCUUCCAACUGAGCAAUAUGCAGAGCCUCUGGUACGCGGCUCUGUCGCCGCCACCUGCUACUUUAAGUCGGCCAACGGCCUCGCUGGAAACUGGGGCUUAUCCAUAUCCCGACUCAAUCUCCGCGUCGCCCUCCUCGCUGGUAUACAUGCAUCUCAUUCAGUCUGUUCGUUGUACAACUUGUAGUCUCCUCAAUCCAGAAGUAGGAAUUCACAGAAAAAAAUGCUUAUCUGAAUUCAGGUGUACAGCCAUAUAUUGUUGUGGAUUUUAGGUUGGAUGCUCACAUAAGAGGUGAUCUGAUUUUGCUAUCGCUCGUCUCUCCUUGUAGAUUUUUGCUCAUGCUCGGAUGUGUCCAAGUGUUGAUUUUUGUUCAUGUGUGGAAGCUGGACUAUGUCUAUAUGUACAUUUUUGUUCAUGCAAGAAUUUUUUAUUUGCUCAUUGCAUCAUGUUAUUAUCAUGUGUAGCUCGUCAUUUACCCAAAAUAUUGUUCUUCCAUUUGGGCAAGCUUUAGUUGCGGAUGCAUCUUUGCGUGCUUGUUCUGCUUGAGCCCGCCGCCUCGCCGUGAAGCCCUCUGCUGCAGCCUCUCACUUCACUGUCGACGACACUCUGCUUCAACCCGUCUCUGUCCAGUACCGGACAAACCUGUUGUAAAGGUCAUUAUUUUGUGCAUCUUUUGCUUCAUCAACUAGGGUUGAAAGGACUAAAAUUAUUCAAUUUUGUUACUAUAUAUCUGGUCAUAGAUAUUAUAACUACUAAAUAGUAUGACAUCCUUUUAAGAAACAAUUUUUUAUUUCUGUUUGACAUUGAUGUGCUUGUGAUUUGCUUUCCAGGUUAUUUUUCUUAAGAACUUAUUGGUUUACCUAUUCGAGAUUUGUUUCAUCAUGUUUUUAUACCCUGUCAUCAGGAUUUUCAUUUGUUCUUCUGCCAUACCAUCUAUGUUUGCUCUUUUUUUAACCUCAUGUCAGUUUCUUUUCUCAUAAGAGAUUAUAUUGCAGUUCUAUUUUCAUAUUAGUGAAAAGUUUUGCUGCUAACAAGUUAUUUGGGUGCCGAACUUUUUACUAAUGAAAAGCUUGGUAAGAAUAGAUUAUUGAUUUUUUAUCCCUUAAAUUUGACCAUUCUCAGGAAUAGAUUGGUGUACCAACUUAUUAACAUUGCCUUCCUCCUUGAACUUGCUACAACUCAGAAUGGUUAUGUGAAUGUGUUUCAUACCACAGUUUCUGAGCUUUCUUCUUUCUUACAAUGUCAAGUACAUCUUCACGAGACCACUCCCUGAAUUUAUUUGUUUUUCUGUUAUUGUUCUUUCUAUUAUUUCAAAUCUUGGUAACAGAAAGCAACAGAUGAUUUCACUCUGCAAUAGACACCUGCUUAAUAAGUAACAAUGCACACAACACCAACCUCGAUGAGUGCCCAAUCUGCUUCUCGGUCGGCCCCCAUUCCCUGAGUUGUUCCUCCAAUGGAUCCAUCAAUAGAUGGAUGCAGAAUUCUGACUACCGGUCAGUUCCCUUUCCCGAAUAUCUUGUUCCUCCAAUGGGUCCAUCAAUAGAUAGAUACAGAAAUCUGACUACCCCCCCCCCCCGCGCGCCUUGAUUGCAGUCUAGUGUUGCGCCAAUUGUAAGUCUCAUUGUUGGUCAAGGAUACAUGGUUGUUCUAAUUGCACAUGCAUCUUCAACGUUACCCUGGUUAUCGUUGUUUUCAGAAGCGGGAAUUGGUUUAACAAUUUACUCUCUUUUGAGAAAAUCGCUAGUUGCAGAACAUUUUAUUUCUGUAUCAUGUACUGUUUGGCAUUUUCCAUUUAAAAUGGAAGGAUUACCUCCUACACUGCAGGUUAUCUUAUUUGUUCUUAGUUAUUUGUUUCCAGUAAGCAUGAAUUGAAUGAUCACGUAAGCGAUACCACUUGAUAUUGUUCAAAAAAUGAAAGUAUGCCCUGACUGAAGAUUUUAGCUUUCUUUUUCUUCAGAAGAUAGAAGGUUUCUGGCUUGUUAACAACAAUAUAAGUUCUAUGAUCUGCUACCCUUGUAUAUUUUGUCUUUGGUUAGACCAGAAGUUAUUGACCUUGGUCAGUAGAUCACUCAGUUGUGGAUGAAAUGCUUCUUUCUAGAUGUUUAGUCCAUCAAGUACUAUGAAUCAUUUGGCUUCCAUUCAUGUUUUUUCAGACACUUGAGAUGGAGGCCUGAUUGUUGCAGUUUCAAUAGCUCAGGGAGCACCUCCUCGCUGGCAACCCCUUCGUCACCAAGCUUGUCGUGGAGUGCGUCGUGGGGUCAUCGCCAAUGUCUUCUUUAUUUUGAGAAGCAUCAUUCACCGCCUCUAGACAGGAUCGUCGGCGACCGCCACUGCCGCGUGUGGGAGCCAUGAACUCUGCCUUACCAUACAAGGAAUUGUGCCUCCACUUUUGGACAAUGUGCGAUAUGUAUACCAUUACCAAAACUGCUUACCCUUCCUUUUGAACCAGCUAGCAUAUAUGUAAUACAUAGUUUAACCAACUAUGCAGCUGAUUGCUACUUCUCCAAAUGAAACCUGCUUUCAACUCUAAUGAUCUGGAUUACUACUCAAGGGAUUUGGCAUGCUUUAUGGUCAUUGGUUAACAAGGUUCUCAGUUGUACAUGCAUGUGAGGCAGUAGAAAAAGAAAGAAGCAGCCGAAGGGGUGCCUCCUACCUGGCACCGCCCAGCUUUCUCCUAAGCGGUGCCACCGGGUGGCGCCCCAACUACUAGUAUAAUAACUACUGCUCCAUGACCUUUCAUCAAGAGGACGUGCCACUCUAAGGGCCUCUCAGGUCAUAGGAUUGGAGAACUACAUGACUAGAUAAUAUCUCACAUGCCGCUGUGGAAAUUGGUUGCAAUAUAUUACUUCAUAAGAUUUGAUUGUGUGAAAUUUGAGGAUGAGAAUGAAGACAAAAUACAUUU